AAAAUGCGAUAAGUAAUGUGAAUUGCAGAAUUCAGUGAAUCAUCGAAUCUUUGAACGCACAUUGCGCCCGCCAGUAUUCUGGCGGGCAUGCCUGUUCGAGCGUCAUUUCAACCCUCAAGCCCUCGGGUUUGGUGUUGGGGAUCGGCGAGCCCUCUGCGGCAAGCCGGCCCCGAAAUCUAGUGGCGGUCUCGCUGCAGCUUCCAUUGCGUAGUAGUAAAACCCUCGCAACUGGUACGCGGCGCGGCCAAGCCGUUAAACCCCCAACUUCUGAAUGUUGACCUCGGAUCAGGUAGGAAUACCCGCUGAACUUAA
rnacentral:misc_RNA from 1 species